UAUCGGUAGGUCCGGUAGUUGAGCAUCCCUCAUUUCGCUAGCGUUAGACGCCUGUGUAAAUGUCUUUCCAGUUUCCGAUCACACGCCACAUACAUACAGUGCAGAGUGUCAUUUUAGUUUGUGGAUAUAAUACACAAUUUCCUUCGUGGCGUCUUUGAAUACUUUCUUCGUAGGCAAAUUAUGUGCAAGUAGUGACAAGAAUUUGUAUAGUAUACGCUCUUGAUAUAUGGAAAGUAACAUUUGACGGUUAUUCUGGCGUUACCCACAUAGCUGUUAACGUUUUUAUGUUAUUUGUUUUGGAAUGCAAUCUACGACAGUUCGUAUUAUAACGUAUGGAUUUUACGGUACGUGGCCCUAGGAAUGGAGAUACUCUUUCAAGUUUAUAGCGGAUGGCGUACCACCUGUGUUCUGCUUUGGGAUUCAGAAGAGGUGUAUAUGAAGCUGCUACCGGUGGUAGUCAACGAACCGAAACCAUCGAACAUAACUCAACUUCUGAUUCAGCGCACCAUGGGUCUGGGGAAGAAUCUACACAACAUCAAUUUGAUGAUGGAUGGGAGGUGCCGUUGUUGCGUGCGCUCUCCGAAAGCUCAAAUGGAUAGAAGUCUUUUUUAUUGUGACUCUUUGCAACUCAACAUCUACUGUAUAUGGUAAAGACAGCUGCGGAGGUAAAAAUGUGGCUGUAGAGUGCUGUCAAAACUUUGAAAGUCUUAAAAGUGAAUCGUUACCUGAAAUGAGACGUCAAGAACAACAUGAAUAAAGCAGUGAGUGUCAUUAGAAUAUUAUUUUCCAUGAAUGAAAGACAUGCUAAAUUACAAUACCCAAGGGAAAUAAUGUAUCACGGAAUGAGGUUAGGGAAUGCCAAAUGAACAUAGCACAUAAGGAAGAAGACAGCCACCACAUGGACAAGUGGAACAUGUGAAGGAUAAAAUCAAAGACCAGAUAGAACCCCUGGCAUACCUUUUCAACAAAUGCUUCAAGAACAACUCUGUCCCAAAACAAUGAAGGGAGACACAACUGUGUUCUACGAAGGCAAAGGCAGGAAAGUUGACCCAAACUCCUCUAUAGGAAUUACUCUGGUGAGCGUCAUGUUUAAACUCUUCUCUAAACUCCUAAUGGCAGUGCAUUGAUACUUCUUAGAGCUCAGCUGUGACAUAAGAAUGCAACUAAUAUGGACAUACCUGAGGGUGAAAAACAUCAAGAAACUAGAUAAUGUUAAAUUCAGGUUUGUAAAGAAAACUGUCAGUCUCAAAGUUCACAAGAAAUAGCUACACCUAUUUAGUUGUGUAGGAAUCUGUCAUCAUAGAAGAUACUGGACAAUGAUUCAAUUUUCCAAAGAGGCAAGCAUGCAAAACAGACAUCAAAGAGAGACAGAACAAUGCAAGGGAGGUAUUGAAGGAAACUGUGGAAACAAAUGUGAGGAAUUCAGGUACCUGGAAAGGACCGAACUUCCAACUCUGCCACCUGUGCAAACAUUUUUCAACCAAUGGUUUCCACUCGAAGAUCUCCCAGAAAGGGAUCAUAUAUUGAGCACAUGGAGUACUGCAUCUGUAAACUACACAAACUGUACCCCAAAUAGCAUUAAGUGAAGUGUGAAAAUGAAACUCGGCCUGUAUGCACAUUAACAAAAGACGGAUGAAAACAUAACUCUAAUGUAACUGUAUGUGCACAACUUGUUUAAUAAAGUUAUUAUUUUAGUUGGCA